AUGUUAGGAGUUGAUGAGGCAUCUGAUGGUAGAUUAUUCAUGAUAAUCUCUUCCAGGUGGGCUUAUUGGGACAUCCAGAAUGUAUCACUGUGGUGGACUUUUGGUGGAGGAACUAAACUCAUUGUGAAAACUGGUUCCACAGUGAAGCCCUCUGUGUCUCUGCUCCCUCCCUCCUCUCUGCAGCUGUCUGAGGGUUCAGCCUCACUGCUCUGCCUGCUGUCUGGAUACUCUCCACAGGGGGCGCUGGUCAGCUGGACAGUGGACGGCUCAGAGGUGAAGGAGGGGGUUCUGACCAGUGUAGAAGAAGAGAAGAAUGGCCGCUAUAGCCGCAGCAGCACCCUGACCCUCAGCAAAGCACUUUGGGAAAAGGGGGAGGAGUUUGGCUGUAUGGUCUCCCAUGACAACGUCAAUCAGCCAAUCACGUUCACAAAGAGCCACUGUGAAAAUUAGCAGCUCCAAGAUAGAGCUGAACAUAGAGCUGCUUCCACAUCAUCUACAGUAAAGUUUAAACUCUACACAGUGCUGAUGUUCCUGUCUUUACUCUGUUCUCUGUCCUGUUGCUGUUCCUGUGGUUCUGCUGAGCUGAAAUAAAGCUGAAUCUAGAACAUCGUCUGUUCUUUUACUCUGUUUAAUGGUCAGUGUUGUGAGAGAGUAUCUGUAGCUGUAGAUUCAGUGCAGAGC